CGGGGCUCGAACGGUAGUCGCUACUCCUGGAAACAGGUGGUUCUCUUCGGAGACGGCUAUCGAGGUGCUGCAUGGCUGUCGUCAGCUCGUGUCGUGAGAUGUUGGGUUAAGUCCCGCAACGAGCGCAACCCUUGCCCUUAGUUGCUACCAGGUAAUGCUGAGCACCCUAAGGGAACUGUCGGCGAAAAGCCGGAGGAAGGUGGGGAUGACGUCAAGUCCUCAUGGCCCUUACGUCCCGGGCUACACACGUGCUACAAUGGUCGGUACAAAGGGUUGCCAACCCGCGAGGGGGAGCUAAUCCCAAAAACCCGAUCCCAGUCCGGAUUGCAGUCUGCAACUCGACUGCAUGAAGUCGGAAUCGCUAGUAAUCGCAGAUCAGCACGCUGCGGUGAAUACGUUCCC
rnacentral:rRNA from 1 species